rnacentral:lncRNA from 1 species
AGUUUAAGUCAGGAGAAUAAUUUACCAGCCGCUGGCCUCUGAACUUAAACAUACGGUGUGUACAUACCAAUCCAGCCUAUUUCUUGGUAAAAUGCAGAACUCAGGUUGGGCAAACAUUAGCCCAACUUUACCUUAGGCUUCAUUUAUGCUGUUAUGGACCCUAACAUGAAGUCUGAGUAUUUGACUUCUUUGUUGGUGGCACUUUCUAGGUGGGCUAAACCAGGAAAGUCCACAGUGACUGGCUAACGCUGGGAAGCCAAGUCGAAAAGCAUCAGAGUGUUGUUGCCUCCUGCCUUUCUGGGAGCACAGUACACAGUGGCUCUGGGCCUUUGCAAGUGCCAUCAAGCUUAGCUGUCUUCAUACAUGAAAUUAGAGUGUGGGGGUGGUUGGCAGUGAAGGUUUUCACAUUUAAAGGGAUAUAAAACAAUACUCAACUGGAAUAUUCAUUUAGCUCAGAAAAUCUCAAUACAUGGUAAGACACUAUAUAACCGGUGGGAGCAGGAGACUUGGGAAGUCUUGUCUGAAAGUGGGUUUCAGGAGUGAAGUCUUACACUACCACUAAAUGUACUUGGUCUCAGUUAACUAACCUUAAGGUAUUUCCAGGUUUCUAGCUGUUUAGCCAGUUUGGAGGAAGUAGCCUUUAGCAAGAGAGCUAAAAGUCCAAUGUCCUUAAGGAGCCUUAUGUACUCGGGAAUUCUUUCCUCUGUACAUGUUAAGGAAAGGUGUCCAGAUCCCUGCCGUGCCUGGGACAAGUGUCCUGCAUGUGCAGUGCUAACCAAAGUGAGUGCUGGGGGUCCUGGGAAGAACUGUCCUCCUUAGGUGUCCUCAGGACUUUUUCUCACAUUAAUGUCAUAGCUGAUAGCUAUGUUGGGUUGGCUGGUGGCUGUCUACACUUUCAGGACUCAACCUAUAUGUUCUAUAAUUAUUCAUUUCUAUGGACACAGCCUAAAAUUUACGAUAACACAAGGAGCAAAUGGAGUUGAGUAUAUAACGAAAAGAGGCAACGAGAUGGUGAUGGAUCUGUGUAGGCAUGAGUACAUUUUGUGUCCUUAGGAGUCUUUCCAACAGAAACAGUAUGAAAUUAUAAAUGUCUUCCUUCUCUUAUAAGGGUCUUCGAUGCUUUGGUCUCUAUUUCCCAGUCUGUCCUACUCAAGAAGCCAGAAUACGAUACUGUGUUUCUUUUUGGUGGAUACGGUCUUAAAAUGACUUAAUGUGUCAUCCAGAAGCAGCAGGUAAAGGAAUCGGUGUCCCGGUAGAGUUGGAACCAUUUGCUCUCGUCUCAUGUGCUACUCUCAAGGUGCUUUCCAGCUGGAUUGAGCUCAGGAGCCAAGGGUUUUUCUAAGACGCCGUGGACUUGAUAGUGCCGUUUGGUAGAUAUAAACCCUGUUCCUGCGCUCUGGUGGUCCUCAGUGGCUGAUCCGUGCACUGUGAUGGAGAUACCAAGUGUGUUAUCUGUAAGCCUUCUCUCAGUGACUGCCAGUCAGUGGUGUGCGUGCGUGUGUGCGUGCGUGUGUGUGUGUGUGUGUGUGUGUUAAUUAAACAAGGAGCUGAGGCUUUAUUACAGCUGGUUUCCAGUUAAAAUUGUGAAAUACUUAUUUCUUGUCCACAACCAAAUAUUUCAGUCUAUUUAAUGUAUUAAAGAAAUAGUUCUGCUUAAGAAAAUGUUGCUUAAAUGUCCUGUGAUUUCUGGUGCAUUUUUAUACAGAUCUGUGUGCGUCUGUGUGCAUUCACUUUCUGCCUUUGCUCUCUGUGUGAACAGUCCUGUCGCCCUCAGAAGGUGGACACUAUUCCUAGCAUUAAAAAGAAACAUUUGAGUCACUUACC